UCUCGUCUUUCCUUUCCACGCCAAUCAAUUCUUUUUUCCUUUCUUUUUUUUCUUCUCUUCUCUCUUUGUCUCCUUCUUCUCUUCGUCAAGUUGAAGAAAAGAUGCACAGCCCAGAAGAUUAAGUCCUUAAUCAAUUAAUCGAUGAGUUCCAGAAGAUCUGUAUCAACGAAGACGGCGAACAUCGACAGAUGCACAUGACCGCCACGGCGACACCACUUCUUCGCCGAGAGACGCCGUAAAAGUCACCACUAGGGUUCGAGACAGAAAAAGUAAUCCGGCGACAGAAGAGUUCUGAGGAGACGGUGGCGGAGAAAAAGGCUUGUACCGCGGGUGGAGUGCCGGUUCUUACCCUCCACCGGGUAUGUUGCAGCCGGCAACUGGACUCGUCGGCAAACGAAAUCCGGCUGAAGACUGAGGCGGCGGCUAAAGACUGUUACGUGAUUAGAGUUUUUUUUUUUUGUGUUUUUAGCAUCCGGUUCAACCGGGGUUUUGUAAUUGAUUCAAUUUGGUAACUGUUAACCAUUCCCGGUUUGGGUGGUUUAUUAAUACAAAUAUAUUUAUUAAUU